CACGUUUGUGGCAAUGAUCUCCUGGGAUCAGAUCCUCUUCCUGGCUCCAACAAGAAAGAGUCCCUCCCCGCCUGAGCCUGGAGCAGGAAUGCAGGCGUGCCAGAGUAAUUAUACUUCUGUCUUUUUCUUUUUUUUUUUUUAGCUCAGACUUCCUGCACGGACCAAAAAAAAAAAAAGUAAAUAAGUAGCUUCAAACCUGCUGUUAAGGUUCCUUGAAAUAAGAGGUGAGCUGGGCUCCCACGCAGUCCCUGCCCACUCUGCAAGGAGAGCUGGCCAGAAGGGACGAGUCCUGGCACGGUGAGGUUGUGUUGAUACUCUGAUAAACCCCGCUGAUAGUAUAUCAAAAGAGAGAGCGCUGCCUGUUACAGUCAUCAGAGGUGUGGCUUGGCUGUGCCCAAGCAAACAUUCCUGCUGGGCUGGGGAAUCAAUGAACCCAUGACUUAGACGGCUCCUCCUCCUCUCAAAGAGGAAACCUUUUGAUGAUCAAAAGCCCAGCCUACCUCGCUUUACCAAAAAAAAAAAAAAAAGGGGAGGAAGGCUUUCAGUUCUGCUUUUUUUGAGGUGGGAAUGAGAAUUUUGGGGUGCUCCCGUCCAUCAAAAGCAGCCCCGCAGCAAGUCAAGGGAGCGCAUGGAGUGGAGUCAGUUUGAAGAAAGACAGCUUGGAUGGUUGGCAGCUGAGACACCUCUUGGUCUGACACGUGUUGCUGAUGCACCUUGUCCACGUGGAGAGCCUGGCAUGGGACAUCCCUGUCUGCCAGGAUGAAGUGGAUGGGGAGAAGGAGCCCCCCUGUUCCUGUCCGGAAUGCCAGGUCAUGCCUGGUGCACGCCAACAAGAUGUGAACCAGUAACAGAGUCUGUGCUCUCUUUCCUCCAGGAGCCUGGAAGAAGUGGCAUCCCAGGCUUUCUCAUGGGUAAGGAAGGUCUGAGGGCGUUCCACAGCAGCACCUGAAAAGUGUGACUCGGCACUAGUUCUGGAUGGAAAUGGAAGGUUUUUCAGUUCCCGUUUUGCUAUUGGAGACCUGGAGUCUCUGCACGGGCCUCUGGGAAUAAUCAGCUGCUUGGUUGUAGAGUGAGAGGGCGACUGCUCCUGCGAGAGAGAGAAUUCUUCAAGAGUCUGGUAAAAUGCUACCGUUAAGGUGUAAUUCCUUGAGGUAAGAGAUGAGCCCCACCACCUACAGUAGGUGUUUUCUGUGUUUCUUUUAUCACUGGUGUUUAGGUCUUGGCAGUUGUGGCCACGUAAACAGCAUUUUGUCUCGUCAAGGGCACCUUAGUUAAGACUUUUAUCCUGUGGUGUCAUAGAGGUGGGACUAAAAUUGCACUGCAGAGUUUUACCUUGAACGUAGAAAGCUGGGGGUUUUUGUUAGUGGAAUAAUCAAACUUGUUUUGUUAAACGGAAGUAUAUGUAGUGUGAGUAGCUGAAUAUUUUAAUGCAGAUGCUAAUCUGCAUUAGAUCACAGAUACUAAUGCCUAAAUCUUAAACAUCUUAACAAAAUUGCCAAAACGAAGCUCAGGUAAGUGUGCAUCAGGUGCUCUUCAUAAUUCUAUUGAUGCUGAACUGAUGUAAAUAUAAAAUGUAGUCAGCAGAGUAAGAUAACCAAAGCUUACUAUGGAGUGUGUGAUCACAUGUACUCAUUUGUGAAAUAAUACAGAUCACAUUCUUUAGG
rnacentral:lncRNA from 1 species